UAAUCAUCAGAAAGGUUUCUCUUUUAAGCAGGAGGCAGUAAUUCCUGAAGCAACAAAGCAAGAAAAACACCAUCACCACAACACCACCAGGAUAGAGAGGAGGGAGCAUUCAUCAGCGAGGAUGAUGAAAUUGGAAUACCGGAAAAUCAUGCAGGUGGGCUAUGCAUCCACCACGGGAUGGCAGCAGUCGCUACCCUUUAGCUCAAGGGUGAUGAACCCAUGUCGCUCGAAGCUUCUUGUACAGGGGAGAGAGAGAGAGAGAGAGAGAACCAAAUCUAGCAAAAGGGAAACAAA